rnacentral:rRNA from 1 species
CCGCCGACGGCCCCCCUGAACGCUGUCUGAAGUUGCAGUCUGAGACCUAUAACGAAAUUAGUUAAAACUUUCAACAACGGAUCUCUUGGUUCCGGCAUCGAUGAAGAACGCAGCGAAAUGCGAUAACUAAUGUGAAUUGCAGAAUUCAGUGAAUCAUCGAGUCUUUGAACGCACAUUGCGCCCUCUGGUAUUCCGGAGGGCAUGCCUGUCCGAGCGUCAUUGCUGCCCUCAAGCCCGGCUUGUGUGUUGGGCCCCGUCCCCCCCGCCGGGGGGACGGGCCCGAAAGGCAGCGGCGGCACCGCGUCCGGUCCUCGAGCGUAUGGGGCUUCGUCACCCGCUCUAGUAGGCCCGGCCGGCGCCAGCCGACCCCCAACCUUUAAUUAUCUCAGGUUGACCUCGGAUCAGGUAGGGAUACCCGCUGAACUUAAGCAUAUCAAUAAGCGGAGGA